rnacentral:rRNA from 1 species
CCAGCCCGUGACCGUCAGGGGCGGGAAGACGGAGGCCUCAAGCGUUACCCGGGAGCACUGGGCGGAAAGGGGGUGCAGGCGGCUGAGUGAGUCGCGCGUAAAAGCCCGCGGGCUGAACCCGGGGAAUGCGUGCGAAACGGCUGAGCUUAGAGGAUGGGAGAGGUGUGCGAAACUCAAGGUGUAGGGGUGAAAUCCGUUGAUAUCUUGGGGAACACCAAAUGCGAAGGCAGCACACUGGCGCAUUCCUGACGCUGAGACACGAAAGCGUGGGUAGCGAACGGGAUUAGAUACCCGGGUAGUC